CUCCCUCCCUCCCUCUGCUCGGAGACUGUCACGCAGCGGUAAGUAUUCGUUGUGUUGUGAAUAUUGGCGUCAGUGUCGCGGGGCGGCGUCGGUGUGGCAGGAAAGCGACACGUAGAUUGGUUUAUCUGUGUGUGCUAUGCUGAGGUCCUCAUCCAUGAAGCCCUCAAAAAUAUGUGGCCUCAUGCUGGUCACCAUCUUCUCUUUUGAUAUCACCGAGUGAUUUCACAUCCACUGAGGAUCUUUGCAGGCUGCUAAGUGGUGGUGGUGGUUGCUGGUGUCCAGGUGUGGGAAUACGUGUCAAGUCACCAACCCCUCCCAGCACUGGCCAAACUCUGUGGUAACACGGAGAGCAAGUGGAAGAAACCUUGGGAGACUUCCAUGACUCAGGAACAAGCACACCUCACUGGGAGCCUUGUGACUGACAGGUGGUUCAGACCGACUGGGGAGACAUGACGUCUGUGCCACCACGCAGGGAGUAAAACCAAGAGGAGGAAGAGGAGCAUUCAAGAGACAUCAGCUGGCCAGCAGUCCAUUCAGUUUCACAACAGGAAGUGAAGGAUGAAGCAUGAAGGUUUUAGGCCAAAAUGAACUGACAGCAAUCAGGAAUGACACGUCCAGCAAAACCAGCAACACAGCAGAGUGCAACCUCUACAAGUGGUGGAGGGCAUGGACACUUGGAUAUGGAUGACACUGGUUUGGGUGCCAAAUAUUAAUAGUGCACCUACACAAUUACCACACUCGCUCCUCUCACCAGGCUUAACUAUAAAUAAUUAAAGGUAAAUAACAUCUGUCAUCUAUUAUCUAUUGUAUUCUAUAUUGCUGUUAAUGUUUCAUGUAUAAUGUCUUUGCUUUCAAAUGCAAGUCAAAAGGGUGAACCCCAUUUAUAGUACUAUUCACGUUUGGCAAAUUUCACUUUUGACAUUGGUUUGGCUACACUAAUUGAACUGCUAACAGUUGAGGGACUACUGUAAAUGUAGUAAUAAUUAUAAUAAUAAUAAUAAUAAUAAUAAUAAUAAUAAUAAUAAUAAUAAUAAUAAAAAGUAAUGAUAAAGUGCAAGACAUGUUCAUUAACGCAAUUAUUUUCUCCAAC